rnacentral:rRNA from 1 species
UAAGACGAGCCUCACAAACGUUAUUCGGAAUUACUGGGCUUAAAGGGUGCGUAGGCGGUGCGGAAAGUUGGGUGUGAAAUCCCUCGGCUUAACCGAGGAAUUGCGCUCAAAACUACCGUGCUCGAGGGAGAUAGAGGAAUGCGGAACUUACGGUGGAGCGGUGAAAUGCGUUGAUAUCGUAGGGAACACCGGUGGCGAAAGCGGCAUUCUGGAUCUCUUCUGACGCUGAUGCACGAAAGCUAGGGUAGCAAACGGGAUUAGAUACCCCGGUAGUCCUAGCCGUAAACGAUGAGCACUGGAUUGAAGACCCCUCCAUAGGUUUUCAGUCGCAGAGAAAUUGUUUAGUGCUCCGCCUGGGGAGUAUGGUCGCAAGGCUG